GAUGAACGCUGGCGGCGUGCCUAAUACAUGCAAGUCGAGCGAACAGACGAGGAGCUUGCUCCUCUGACGUUAGCGGCGGACGGGUGAGUAACACGUGGAUAACCUACCUAUAAGACUGGGAUAACUUCGGGAAACCCGAGCUAAUACCGGAUAAUAUAUUUAACCGGAUGGUUCAAUAGUGAAAGACGGUUUUGCUGUCACUUAUAGGUGGAUCCGCGCCGCAUUAGCUAGUUGGUAAGGUAACGGCUUACCAAGUCAACGAUGCGUAGCCGGCCUGAGAGGGUGGCCGGCCGGAGAGGGACGGAGGCCCGGUUCGGACUCAGACAGGAGGCAGAAGUAUAGGGGCGGCAGCAGUGGGCGAUAGCGUAACGUGGGAGCAAGGCUUAUGUAGUGACGGCGUUUGGAUGGUGACGCUCUUCGGGUUGGGAAGUACAUACGUGUAUGAAGAAGUGCAUGUGUUGACGGUACCGGAAGAAGAAGCAACGGCUAACUACGUG
rnacentral:rRNA from 1 species